rnacentral:rRNA from 1 species
UACGUAGGGUGCGAGCGUUAAUCGGAAUUACUGGGCGUAAAGCGUGCGCAGGCGGCGCGUUAAGACAGGUGUGAAAGCCCCGAGCUUAACUUGGGAAUUGCGCUUGUGACUGCAUAGCUAGAGUACGGUAGAGGGGGAUGGAAUUCCGCGUGUAGCAGUGAAAUGCGUAGAUAUGCGGAGGAACACCGAUGGCGAAGGCAAUCCCCUGGACCUGUACUGACGCUCAUGCACGAAAGCGUGGGGAGCAAACAGG